AGUGAACGCUGGCGGUAGGCCUAACACAUGCAAGUCGAACGGCAGCACAGUAAGAGCUUGCUCUUACGGGUGGCGAGUGGCGGACGGGUGAGGAAUACAUCGGAAUCUACUUUUUCGUGGGGGCUAACGUAGGGAAACUUACGCUAAUACCGCAUACGACCUACGGGUGAAAGCAGGGGAUCUUCGGACCUUGCGCGAUUGAAUGAGCCGAUGCCGGAUUAGCUAGUUGGCGGGGUAAAGGCCCACCAAGGCGACGAUCCGUAGCUGGUCUGAGAGGAUGAUCAGCCACACUGGAACUGAGACACGGUCCAGACUCCUACGGGAGGCAGCAGUGGGGAAUAUUGGACAAUGGGCGCAAGCCUGAUCCAGCCAUACCGCGUGGGUGAAGAAGGCCUUCGGGUUGUAAAGCCCUUUUGUUGGGAAAGAAAAGCAGCAGGUUAAUACCCCGCUGUUCUGACGGUACCCAAAGAAUAAGCACCGGCUAACUUCGUG
rnacentral:rRNA from 1 species